UGCCGCGUGUGUGAAGAAGGCCUUCGGGUUGUAAAGCACUUUCAGUUGUGAGGAAAAGUUAGUAGUUAAUACCUGCUAGCCGUGACGUUAACAACAGAAGAAGCACCGGCUAACUCCGUGCCAGCAGCCGCGGUAAUACGGAGGGUGCGAGCGUUAAUCGGAAUUACUGGGCGUAAAGCGCACGCAGGCGGUUUGUUAAGCUAGAUGUGAAAGCCCCGGGCUCAACCUGGGAUAGUCAUUUAGAACUGGCAGACUAGAGUCUUGGAGAGGGGAGUGGAAUUCCAGGUGUAGCGGUGAAAUGCGUAGAUAUCUGGAGGAACAUCAGUGGCGAAGGCGACUCCCUGGCCAAAGACUGACGCUCAUGUGCGAAAGUGUGGGUAGCGAACAGGAUUAGAUACCCUGGUAGUCCACACCGUAAACGCUGUCUACUAGCUGUUUGUGACUUUAAGUCGUGAGUAGCGAAGCUAACGCGCUAAGUAGACCGCCUGGGGAGUACGGCCGCAAGGUUAAAACUCA
rnacentral:rRNA from 1 species